ensembl:snoRNA Gm22186 predicted gene, 22186
UGUGUGUAUGGGGGGGGGUUGUUGAACUAUUAGACAAAGACAAAGUACAUUUGAAGAUGAACUCUCUUUUGCAACCCAGAACUCAUGGCUCACUAUGAGCUUUGACACGUAUAAAAAGAAUAUG